rnacentral:rRNA from 1 species
GGUAUCGGAUACUGGGCGUAAGCGCAUGCAGGCGGUUUGUUAGUCAGAUGUGAAGCCCGGGGCUCAACCUCGGAACCGCAUUUGAAACUGGCAGGCUAGAGUCUUGUAGAGGGGGGUAGAAUUUCAGGUGUAGCGGUGAAAUGCGUAGAGAUCUGAAGGAAUACCAGUGGCGAAGGCGGCCCCCUGGACAAAGACUGACGCUCAGAUGCGAAAGCGUGGGUAGCAAACAGGAUUAGAUACCCUGGUAGUCCACGCCGUAAACGCUGUCUACUUGGAGGUUGAGGUUUAAGACUUUGGCUUUCGGCGCUAACGCAUUAAGUAGACCGCCUGGGGAGUACGGCCGCAAGGUUAAAACUCAAAUGAAUUGACGGGGGCCCGCACAAGCGGUGGAGCAUGUGGUUUAAUUCGAUGCAACGCGAAGAACCUUACCUACUCUUGACAUCCAGCGAAUCCUUUAGAGAUGGAGGAGUGCCUUCGGGAGCGCUGAGACAGGUGCUGCAUGGCUGUCGUCAGCUCGUGUUGUGAAAUGUUGGGUUAAGUCCCGCAACGAGCGCAACCCUUAUCCUUGUUUGCCAGCACGUAAUGGUGGGAACUCCAGGGAGACUGCCGGUGAUAAACCGGAGGAAGGUGGGGACGACGUCAAGUCAUCAUGGCCCUUACGAGUAGGGCUACACACGUGCUACAAUGGCAGAUACAGAGGGCAGCGAAGCUGCGAAGUGGAGCGAAUCCCUUAAAGUCUGUCGUAGUCCGGAUUGGAGUCUGCAACUCGACUCCAUGAAGUCGGAAUCGCUAGUAAUCGUGGAUCAGAAUGCCACGGUGAAUACGUUCCCGGGCCUUGUACACACCGCCCGUCACACCAUGGGAGUGGGCUGCACCAGAAGUAGAUAGCUAACCUUCGG